rnacentral:rRNA from 1 species
AUACUAUCGAGUGGACGGCUCGGCUCAAGCGGCGAAGAAGGACGUGACAAGCUGCGAAAAGCCCGGGCGAGGCGCAUGUGGCCUUCGAACCCGGGAUUUCCGAAUGGGACUUCCCCAUUGAGACCGUCAGGUCGGCGAACCCAGGAAAGUGAAACGUCUGAGUACCUGGUGGAAAAGAAACCAAUUGGGAUGCCGUGAGUAAGGGCGACUGAAAGCGGCGGACGGCAAACUGAAUCCUGCCCGUAAGGGUAAGGAGAUGUGGUGUUGCAGGAUCUUCUAUUAGGCCGAGCUCCAGGACGAGAAGUCCGCUGGAACGCGGUGCCAGAGAGGGUGAUAGCCCCGUACUGGUACUGGAGUGGCUGUGGAGAUAUCCUGAGUAGCGCACAUUGGGAAUUGUGUGUGAAUUCGGGGGACAAUUACCUCCAACCGUAAACACGUCUUGAGUCCGAUAGCAAACAGUACCGUGAGGGAACGCUGAAAAGAACCCGUACUAGGGAGUUCAAAGAGUCCGAAACUCGAUAGUGAUAGUGAGAUGCGCGCCGAUAGGUGUGCAUCGUUCGUUUUGAAUAACGAGCCAGGGAGUGCGCCUCUGUGGCGAGGGUAACUACAAGGUACCCGUAGCGAAAGCAAAUGGCCGCAAGCAAUGAGGGCCGAGGUGUGAAAGCGCCUUAAGUCACAGGGGUUCGACCCGAAGCCGCUCGAUCUACGCCUGGGUAAGGUGAAGCCGCGGUAAAACGUGGUGGAGGCCUGAAGAGGUUCUAGGUGCAUCUGUUCUUCUAACCUGGGCGUAGGGGUAAAAAGCCAAUCGAGAGCGGUGAUAGCUGGUUCCCAUCGAAGUUGGCCGCAGUCAAGUCUUCGCCGAGGCUGUCGAAGUUGUAGAGAUACUGAUGAGUCGGGAGAGGGGAACAACCCAGACCGCAGUUAAGGUCCCAAAAUGCCGUUUCAGUGUGAAAGGGUGAAGGUGGUCCAUACCCAUAGACAGCGAGGAGGUUUGCUUAGAAGCAGCAACCCUUUAAAAAGUGCGUAACAGCUUACUUGUCAAGGGUGUGGGCGCCCAAAAUGGACGGGGCUAAAUCGGCUACCGAUACUGCGGGCCACGGCAACGUGUGCGGUAGGUGGGCGUCCUGCUCGGAUAGAAGCAUGACCGAGAGGUUGUGUGAACCGUGCAGGAAUGAGAAUCCUGGCAAUAGUAGGAACUGAGCGGAGUGAGAAUCUCCGCCACCGGAAGGGCAAGGGUUCCUUCCCAACGUAAAUCGGGGAAGGGUUAGUCGGUCCUAAGCGAGCUCCUAGUUGGAGUGUGUUCGCGAAUGGGAAACCGGUUAAUAUUCCGGUACUUCUUGGAUAUGUGCGGCAACGCAAGCCUUGACUUUGACGCUUCUGGCUAGGCCGACACGCGCCGUCGCGCGUGCGAACUUGUGCAGGAUGGGGGAGUGACGUAAUGUCGAGAACCCGUCCAACGCGAGGAUAAGCAGUAUUCUGUACUGUUCGGUUGAUGCCCGGAGCCCCUGAAAAGGAGCGAGGAAAGAUUCCAAGGAUCCGUACCCAGAACCAGCACAGGUGCCCAAGGUGAGAAGCCUCAGGUGUGAAGGGAAAAACCGGUCAAGGGAACUCGGCAAGAUAGCCCCGUGCCUUCGGUAUAAGGGGUCCCUAUUUUCGUAUCCGUAUGGGUGCGUCAGUAGGGCGCAGUGACUAGGGAGGUCCGACUGUUUAACAAAAACACAGCUGACUGCGAGCCCGGAAGGGUGUGUAUAGUCGGCGACGUCUGCCCAGUGUCAGUACCUAAAACUCCUUUUCAAGGGAGCUAAGGGCUGGUAAACGGCGGGGGUAACUAUAACUCUCUUAAGGUGGAAUUGCUGCCUUAAGACCCGAGUGUUAAACAGAGUUCCAAUAAAAGAAUCGGGAUAGAAACUCGGCUAUAUGCUGGAACAACUCUGUAUUCGGCGGUACUCGUAAGAGUAACAAUCCGUCCGAUGGAGUCAAUCAGCAGGAAAGACUUCUCGUUGAGAAGUAUCCUCAGAGACUACAUGCCGAACCAACGAGUGAUUGUUGGAAGAUAUAGUCCGAACCGUGCAGCGAUGUACGGAGGCGAUCAGAAAUGGUCGUCCGCCAUCAACUGAUGGUCAGUAGCUCGCAAGGGCGAAGUAACAGAGAUUUUGCGGUGAAAGCUUGACGCAUUUACGUUCAGGAGACUGAGCACGCAGAUCGUGCGAAUGUCGCCUGGUUUUGGUCAAGCUUUUCGCAAAAGGUUGAGCGAAAUGCCUUGCCGUUUGAUUGACGGCCUGCAUGAAUGGCGUAACGAGAUCUCCACUGUCCCUGACCGGGACCCUCCGAAAAUUCUUUACUGGUGCAAAGGCCAGUGACGUCCAGUGGGAAGCGAAGACCCCGUGAAACUUUACUGUAGCCUGUUGUUGUGACGCCGAGUCUGUUGU